AUGAUGGACAAAUCACGUAAAAUUGGUUCGACAUGUAAAACUAAAAAAUCAAUGGAUAUAAAAAAAUAAAAAAAAAUAAAAUAUAAUAAAAAUAAUGAAAUGAGAGAAAGAGAGAGCAAAACAGAAAAAAGGACGUUCAUAUAGAAUCAUUGCUUGUUUUCUAAAAGUUGCAAUAAUAAAUUAUCAAAUACGGAAUAUUAAAUAUACUUAUUAUCUUCAAUAUUUAAUCUAAAUAAUAAUGCAUGAAAAAGUAAAUAUAUAACACUAUCAAAAUCUAUAUAGAAUUUAUGAUCAAUUUAUUAGUAAUAACAGAAAGUGUGUAUAAUUUUUCGACCGAUUCAAUCAAUUCGAAUCUUAAAUUAAUCGUUAUCGUAAAAGAUUAGAGUUCUAUAAAUGCAAAAUUAACCGUGAUAAAUUUAUAUUCACAAAUGCACAAUCAACCUUUUCAAAGUGUUAUCUCGUACGUUAUAUUAUCAGCAUGUUUCCAAAAUAAGAGAUAGCAUUAUACGAAUAUAUUUGCAUACAUAUUGUUGCAACAAACAUGUACAGAAGCUUCUCCUGUAUAGUUCUCUCCUGUAUACUUCUCUCUAUGUGACACAAAAUCACGUAAAAAUGACGGGCAUCAAUGAUACACUUGAAAAAAAUGCCGAGAAUCGCGAGUGCCUUUUGAACAGCACAACGGAAGUGCGAGCGAGUGAAAAUUUAGAUAAAUAUGAAUACGUAAAAUUAUUACGAGAUACAUUUGACCGGAACUUAUUUCCGAACGAAUUUGAUGAGUGGACUGUGAGCCAGAGAUAUGACUGGAUAAAUGAGAACCUCUCCAAAUUUUAUCCAAACGUGCCAGAGUCCUUAUUAAAAUUCAUUCCGGCUUUCUUUCGUGAUGGGGAUUGCGGUCGAUCGUCAGUGGAGAAACCCGAUUGGUUGGAUAUGGAUAAGUUCCAAAGAGGACAAAAAUUCAUACAGGACUAUUUCGUCGGAAUUACCAUGACUAUAGUGUUGGCGCUCCUACCUGCAUAUACUUUCGAAACUAAUAUGAAUCCAAUUCUCUUGAGUAAUCGCACUCAUACGCCGUAUUUAGCAUUUAAAAGAUACUUAUCGACUAUGUGCCGGAUGAUGAAUUGGUUUACCGAAGAACCAUGGACCAAAGGAACGCCUGCCUUCAAAGACAUGCAAGUUGUACGUAAAAUGCACGUAAUGAUGAGAGCCAAACUAUCUCGGUUUGAUAAUCACGAAAUCGACGACGCGUGCAAAUUCGCAAAUCCAUGGUGCCCGGAUCGUGAAUUGCUCCUGAAAGAUUUCGCCGAAGCGUGUCCAUUUCAGAAGAUUGGGCAACGUCCUCACAAGUCAUUCAUCAAUUUGCCGUUCAAGCGGAAAUAUAUAAACAGCGCUGACAUGGCAAUGAUUCAGUGCUGCUUCGUAGGCUUUAUUUUACUCUAUCCGCAAGACUUUGGAGUGCACGAUACGACUGACGAGGAUUUCGAGGGUUUUUGUCAUGUUUGGAGGUGUAUCGGAUAUUACCUCGGAAUGGAAGAUGAGUAUAACUUCUGCCGUGGCAGCUUGAAGGAAAUAAAACAACGCUCGAGAGAUUUCUUUCAAUAUUGGAUGAUCCCUAAUUUGAAGGAAGUGACACCCGAAUGGGAACACAUGACGAGAUGCGUCGUCGAACCGUUCAACUAUUUUCCCUGCAUGUAUAUGACUUAUAAGGCCGCGAUAUUGCUUAUUACAGAUUCAUUUCAUAUAAACAUGCCGCGUUUACAUGAAUCUCUUAACUACUUAGACUGGAUCACUUAUAAGAUAUGGAAAUUUGUAUUGCGUUAUGCUUUGAAGUUAUCGAUCAUAAGAUCAUCUUUUAAUAAAGUGUUACUAAGUACACUGAAGUAUAUGGUGAAUUGUAGUCCAGAAAAAGAAGCGAAACUUCACAUGCGAUCUAUGAAAGAAACGCAGGAUUUUUCUAUCACAUUUCUUUCACAACAGUAAAAUGGAUAAAAUCAGCUAGCAAUUUAUUUGGCGUGUACUAUUUGUUACUACGGGCAGAAUCAUUAAUCUCUAUCAUUUUUAUCACAUUUUAUCAGGAAAAAAGAUUAGAUUAGAAAAUAAUUCGAAUUAACUGUAGUAAUAGAGAGCCACUACCUGAAACAUAAACAAAAAAAUUUUCCUAACUUAAAUGAGGUCUGACUCAAUUAAUCUAGAGUCAAUAUUUAAAAUUGAAAAUUGACAAAGCUUUUCAAAGAUUAUUUUAAAUAUUUUAGUCUUAUUUUAAUCUUUAAAAGAGAUUGUUUUGUCAAUUUUCAAUUUUAAACAUUGAUUCUAGGUGAGUCAACUCACAACUUUAUAUAAAUUCGAAAAUUUUAUUUUUAUUUUUCAGAUGGCUCUUUAUCAUUUCUAUAGAAAGAACAUAAUCCUACAAUUCUUACAUCUACAAUCCUUAAUUUAAUGCCAUGUACAUUAUCCACUGUACAUUAUCCACUAGACAAUAAAAAAUACCACUAUAAUUUCGAAAAAAACAAUAAUAAAUAUUUUCACAAAA